AGUGAACGCUGGCGGUAGGCCUAACACAUGCAAGUCGAACGGCAGCACAGGAGAGCUUGCUCUCUGGGUGGCGAGUGGCGGACGGGUGAGGAAUACAUCGGAAUCUACUUUUUCGUGGGGGAUAACGUAGGGAAACUUACGCUAAUACCGCAUACGACCUACGGGUGAAAGCAGGGGAUCUUCGGACCUUGCGCGAUUGAAUGAGCCGAUGUCGGAUUAGCUAGUUGGCGGGGUAAAGGCCCACCAAGGCGACGAUCCGUAGCUGGUCUGAGAGGAUGAUCAGCCACACUGGAACUGAGACACGGUCCAGACUCCUACGGGAGGCAGCAGUGGGGAAUAUUGGACAAUGGGCGCAAGUCUGAUCCAGCCAUACCGCGUGGGUGAAGAAGGCCUUCGGGUUGUAAAGCCCUUUUGUUUGGAAAGAAAUCCAGCUGGCUAAUACCCGGUUGGGAUGACGGUACCCAAAGAAUAAGCACCGGCUAACUUCGUGCCAGCCGCCGCCGUAA
rnacentral:rRNA from 1 species